rnacentral:rRNA from 1 species
CCCGGAACCCGGGGAGGCGGAAAACACCAUAUAUAUGUUUUCUUUCGGCCGCCUUUGCUUUUAAGCUUGCUCCUAAGGUCCCUAGACCCGAGAACCGGGACACCCCAUAAGGGCGGCCGAGUUGUUUGGAACCCCAUUACGUCCCCUUGGCCUUGUACACACCGCCCGUCGCUACUACCGAUUGAAUGGCUCAGUGAGGCCUUGGGACUGGCUCAGGAGGGUUGGCAACGACCCCCCAGAGCCGGAAACUUGGUCAAACUCGGUCAUUUAGAGGAAGUAAAAGUCGUAACAAGGUUUCCGUAGGUGAACCUGCGGAAGGAUCAUUACUGAGUGAGGGCCCUCUGGGUCCAACCUCCCACCCGUGUUUAUUGUACCUUGUUGCUUCGGUGCGCCCGCCUCACGGCCGCCGGGGGGCUUCUGCCCCCGGGUCCGCGCGCACCGGAGACACUAUUGAACUCUGUCUGAAGAUUGCAGUCUGAGCAUAAACUAAAUAAGUUAAAACUUUCAACAACGGAUCUCUUGGUUCCGGCAUCGAUGAAGAACGCAGCGAAAUGCGAUAACUAAUGUGAAUUGCAGAAUUCAGUGAAUCAUCGAGUCUUUGAACGCACAUUGCGCCCCCUGGUAUUCCGGGGGGCAUGCCUGUCCGAGCGUCAUUGCUGCCCUCAAGCACGGCUUGUGUGUUGGGCUCCGUCCCCCCGGGGACGGGUCCGAAAGGCAGCGGCGGCACCGAGUCCGGUCCUCGAGCGUAUGGGGCUUUGUCACCCGCUCUGUAGGCCCGGCCGGCGCCAGCCGACAACCAAUCAUCCUUUUUCGAGGGUGACCUGGGAUCGAGGUACGGA